UCCAUGAAACAACUUGUGAGGGGAACAUCAAGCAAACUACAUCGCUGUCUAUUGUGAAGCCACCUUGACUCCAAACUUCUCAUGACAGCGAUCAAAGGUGAACCACAGCAGAAGAUAACCAAGGACAGCUGAUACUGUAAGCCUCGGACAGUGGGAGGACUGACACUAAGCUCCUGAUGGGCAUCUGCAACCAGAAAAGCGAGAAAACGGCAUAAUCCCUUCCAUUUAAAGAGUAAUUCUGCCUGUAGAAAGACCGGAUGGCAUGAGCAAAGGAGAGCGCAACACUUCUUCAACUGGGUUGAGGAUCUGGUAUUUUUCUCGCUGAUUCCCGUGUACUGACUUGCUGCCUUGUCGUCUGCAACUGGGAGCUUUAACGUUCCACAAUUGUAUAAACGAGCUGACUUGUAAGCUAAAUAAAGUCUAUUGCAAAUA